rnacentral:miRNA from 1 species
UUGCGUUCUGGCGGCUGCUGCUUCC